rnacentral:misc_RNA from 1 species
GAUGAAGAACGCAGCGAAAUGCGAUACGUAAUGUGAAUUGCAAAUUCAGUGAAUCAUCGAGUCUUUGAACGCACAUUGCGCCCCCCGGUAUUCCGGGGGGCAUGCCUGUCCGAGCGUCAUUGCUGCCCUCAAGCACGGCUUGUGUGUUGGGCCCCGUCCUCCGAUCCCGGGGGACGGGCCCGAAAGGCAGCGGCGGCACCGCGUCCGGUCCUCGAGCGUAUGGGGCUUUGUCACCCGCUCUGUAGGCCCGGCCGGCGCUUGCCGAUCAACCCAAAUUUUUAUCCAGGUUGACCUCGGAUCAGGUAGGGAUACCCGCUGAACUUAAGCAUAUCAAUAAGCGGAGGA